rnacentral:rRNA from 1 species
UUCCGGUUGAUCCCGCCGGAGGCUACCGCUAUUGGAGUUCGAUUAAGCCAUGCGAGUCGUGAGUCCUAGGGACUCGGCGUACCGCUCAGUAACACGUGGGUAACCUGCCCUAUGCUGGGGAAUAACCUCGGGAAACUGAGAAUAAUGCCCCAUAGUUCACCACACCUGGAACGGUGGGUGGAUGAAAGCUCCGGCGGCAUAGGAUGGGCCUGCGGCGUAUCAGGUUGUAGGGGGUGUAAUGUACCCUCUAGCCAUCUACGCGUACGGGUGUUGAGAGACAUCGCCCGGAGAUGGAUUCUGAGACACGAAUCCAGACCCUACGGGGUGCAGCAGGCGCGAAAACUUGGCAAUGCGAGCAAUCGUGACCAGGGAACUCCAAGUGCAUCGGGUAAGACCGAUGCUUUUCUUGACUCUUCAAAGGUCUUGGAAUAAGGGAUGGGUAAGGACGGUGCCAGCCGCCGCGGUAAUACCGGCGCCUCAAGUGGUAGUCGCUUUUAUUGGGCCUAAAACGUCCGUAGCCGGUUUGGUACAUUCGUGGGUAAAUCAAGACGCUCAACGUCUUGAAUUCUGCGAGCACGGCCAGACUUGGGACCGGGUGAGGUGUGGGGUACUCUCAGGGUAGGGGUAAAAUCCUGUCAUCCUGAGAGGACCACCUGUUGCGAAGGCGCCACACUAGAACGGAUCCGACGGUCAGGGACGAA